CACCGCGGUUAAACGAGAGGCCCCAGUUGACAAUACAACGGCGUAAAGGGUGGUUAGGGGGUGCAAAACAAUAAAGCCAAAUGGCCCCUUGGCCGUCAUACGCUUCUAGGUGCCCGAAGCCCAAUAUACGAAAGUAGCUUUAAAAAGGCCCACCUGACGCCACGAAAGCUGAGAAACAAACUGGGAUUAGAUACCCCACUAUGCUCAGCCAUAAACCUAGACAUCCAACUACAACUAGAUGUCCGCCCGGGUACUACGAGCAUUAGCUUGAAACCCAAAGGACCUGACGGUGCCUUAGACCCCCCUAGAGGAGCCUGUUCUAGAACCGAUAACCCCCGUUAAACCUCACCACUUCUAGUCACCCCAGCCUAUAUACCGCCGUCGUCAGCUUACCCUGUGAAGGCAACAAAAGUAAGCAAAAUGGGCACAGCCCAGAACGUCAGGUCGAGGUGUAGCGUACGAAGUGGGAAGAAAUGGGCUACAUUUUCUAUUAUAGAACACUACGGACGUGCAACAUGAAAUAGUGCUUGAAGGAGGAUUUAGUAGUAAAAAGGAAGCAGCGUGUCCUUUUGAACCCGGCUCUGAGGCGCGUACACACCGCCCGUCACUCUCCCCUGUCAAAUGCAAUAAAGAUAUGUAACAGCAAAGCGCCGACGAGGGGAGGCAAGUCGUAACAUGGUAAGUGUACCGGAAGGUGCACUUGGACUAAAUUCAGGGCGUGGCUGAG
rnacentral:rRNA from 1 species